UACGAGAGGCCCAACCGUUAUUCGGAAUUACUGGGCUUAAAGAGUUCGUAGGCGGCAUGAAAAGUAGGGUGUGAAAGCCCUCGGCUCAACCGAGGAAUUGCGCUCUAAACUGUCGUGCUAGAGGAAGCUAGAGGUGAGCGGAACUGAUGGUGGAGCGGUGAAAUGCGUUGAUAUCAUCAGGAACACCGGAGGCGAAGGCGGCUCACUGGGGCUCUUCUGACGCUGAGGAACGAAAGCCAGGGUAGCGAACGGG
rnacentral:rRNA from 1 species